UGUAUGUAUGUGUGCAUAUGCAUAUAUUUGUGUAUAUGUGUAUGUAAACAUUAUUACACAGGUA
rnacentral:miRNA from 1 species